rnacentral:rRNA from 1 species
CGUACACUCCUGCGGGAGGCAGCAGUGAGGAAUAUUGGACAAUGGGUGGAAGCCUGAUCCAGCCAUCCCGCGUGCAGGAAGACGGCCCUAUGGGUUGUAAACUGCUUUUAUCUGGGGAUAAACCUACUUACGUGUAAGUAGCUGAAGGUACCAGAAGAAUAAGCACCGGCUAACUCCGUGCCAGCAGCCGCGGUAAUACGGAGGGUGCAAGCGUUAUCCGGAUUUAUUGGGUUUAAAGGGUCCGUAGGCGGACUGAUAAGUCAGUGGUGAAAUCCGACAGCUUAACUGUCGAACUGCCAUUGAUACUGUUAGUCUUGAGUAAGGUUGAAGUGGCUGGAAUAAGUAGUGUAGCGGUGAAAUGCAUAGAUAUUACUUAGAACACCAAUUGCGAAGGCAGGUCACUAAGUCUUAACUGACGCUGAUGGACGAAAGCGUGGGGAGCGAACAGGAUUAGAAACCCCUGUAGUCCCAUGAU